UACGUAGGGUGCAAGCGUUGUCCGGAAUUAUUGGGCGUAAAGAGCUCGUAGGCGGUUUGUCGCGUCUGCUGUGAAAACUCGGGGCUUAACUCCGGGCCUGCAGUGGGUACGGGCAGACUAGAGUGCGGUAGGGGAGACUGGAAUUCCUGGUGUAGCGGUGAAAUGCGCAGAUAUCAGGAGGAACACCAGUGGCGAAGGCGAGUCUCUGGACGACUCCUGACACUGAGGCACGAAAGCUAGGGGAGCAAACGGG
rnacentral:rRNA from 1 species